UACGUAGGGUGCGAGCGUUGUCCGGAAUUAUUGGGCGUAAAGAGCUUGUAGGCGGUUUGUCGCGUCUGCUGUGAAAAUCCGGGGCUCAACCCCGGACUUGCAGUGGGUACGGGCAGACUAGAGUGUGGUAGGGGAGACUGGAAUUCCUGGUGUAGCGGUGAAAUGCGCAGAUAUCGAUCGGAACACCCGUGGCGAAGGCGGCUUGCUGGCUCGCAACUGACGCUGAGGCGCGAAAGCGUGGGGAGCAAACAGG
rnacentral:rRNA from 1 species